rnacentral:lncRNA from 1 species
CCAGCGUCUUGGGAGGCUGAGGCAGGAGGAUUGCUUGAGCCCAGCAGUUCAAGGUUGCAGUGAGCUAUGAUUGCGCCACCGUGCUGCAGCCUGGGUAACAGAGUGAGACCCUGUCUCAACAAAAAGGGGAGGAGAUGAUGUUGAAGAUAUAGAUAGUGGCAGACUAUCCACAUCACUUUGUGAGGAAAAAAAUUCAUCUUGUUUGUGCCCUAAUUGAAGAGAACUGACAACAGCAGAAACAAUAGCCAACACCAUAGACAUCUCCGUUGGUUCAGUUUACAAAAUUCUGACUGAAAAGUUACAGUGGAGCAAACUUUCAACUCGAUAGGUAACAAAACUGUUGUACCCAGAUCUGCUACAGUUAAGAGCAGAGCUUUCAGUGGAAAGUUUAAACAAGUGGGGUCAAGAUCCUUGAUAUGGCUUUGUGACCUCACCCAAAUCUCAUCUUGAAUUGUAAUCCCCAGCUAUUGAGGGAAAGACCUGGUGGGAGGUGAUUGGAUCAUGGGGGCAGUUUCCCCCAUGCUGUCCUCAUGAUAGUGAGGGUGUUCCCAUGAGAUCUGAUGGUUUUAUAAAUAGCAGUUUCCUGUGGGCUUUUCACUCACUGUUUUUCCUGCCACCAUGUGAAGCAGGUCUUUGCUUCCCCUUUGCCUUCCACCAUGAUUAUAAGUUUCCUGAGGCCUCCUGGGACAUGCGGAAUUGUGACUCAAUUAAACCUGUUUUCUUUAUAAAUUACCCAGUCCCCAGCAGUUCUUUAUAGAAGUGUGAAAACAGACUAAUACAAUCCUGAAGCAUUUCAUCAAAGAAUUGUAACAGGAGAUGAAACAUGGCUUCACCAGUAUGAUCCUGAAGAAAAAGUGCAAUCAAAGCAAUGGCUAUCAAGAGGAGGAAGUCAAAGCAAAGCAGACCAGUCAAGAGCAAAGGUUGGAGUGGCUCUAGUGACAACUCACUCUGUUCUCAUGGUCAUAAAUCCCUGCUCAUUGCUGCCACUGCUGCUGCUACCACAGACCAAGAGCUCCACUUGCACAGUGCUGCUGGCUAAGAAGAAGUUGCUGUACCUGAGCCCUGGACCACAUGGACUCACAGAGACUCCCAACCAGGUAAAGGGGUGAUAUGGCUUGUGGAUGUCAACCACAUUCUCUUCUUGAUCACCUCGCUGCUGGAACAAUGGGCGAUGGUCAGAGUAGAGUGGUCAUGGAGGUUGAAUAGAUGCUAUGAAUGGGUCCAAGAACAUGGACACUCUCUUUCACCAAAAUCAAUUCGGGUCUUGCCACUGUUAAUCACCUAACUUGCCAACAUCUCAAUCGCUGAGUCUUUGAGAUGGCACUGCUCUUGGAGAGAUCAGGCAGCUAUCCAGUGAGUGGUUGACCCCUCUACUUUGGUGGGGAUGGACAUUCAUCCUUAUCACCAUUGACACUUGCUCUAGACAUGAGUUUUCCUUCUCUGCCGGAAAUUCCUCUGCCACUACCACCAUAUGAGGGCUUACAGAUUUCCCAAUCCAUCAACCUGCUUCUCACACAUAUUAGCUCAGAGUAAAGGACUCAUUUUAUGGCAAAGAAUGUAAAAUGAUGGGCUCAUUGGUCUUAUUAUAUACCAUGCCACCCAGAAGCAGUCAACCUAGUGGAAUGAUGAGCUGGCCUGUUGAAAGCUCAGCUAAGGUGCCAGCUCAGAGAUGACACCCUGUAGGGUUGGAAGUUGGAGCACUGCUUUCCAGGAUGUGAUACAUAUGCUGAAUCAAUAACCAAUCUAUGGUUCAGUGUCCCCACAUAACUAGAAUAUAUGAGUCCAGGAACCAAGGGAUAGAAGUAGAAUUGAUCCCUUUAGUUAUCACUCCCAGGGACUUACUUGUGGAAUUUGUGUCUUACUGUUCCUGCAAACUUAAAUUCUGCCAGUUUAGAGGUCUAAGUUUCCAGGAAGUAAAUGCUUUCUCCAGUGGAGGUGGGAAAGGCUCCAGUGAACUGGAAGUUGUGACUAUCACUCAGCUGUUUGGGGCUCCUCAUAACAGUGGACCAGCAGGCAAAGGAAAGAGUUGCCUUAUGGCUAGAAUAAUUGGCCUUGAUUACCAUGAGAAGCUAGGGUUGCUGCAAUGCAGUGGGAGAAGAUAAGAGUAUGACUGCAACCCACGGGAUUUGCUGGAAGUAUCCCCCAUACUUUUGUGCUCACUGAUAAUUGUAAAUGGGCAGUUACAACAACCCAAACCUAACAAAUGCAAAGCAACUAACAACUCAGUCCCCUCAGGGUAGAGGUCUGGGUCACUCAUCAGACUACAGCACAGACUUACUGAACUGCUAGAUGGUUGUUGGGGGGCACCUAGAGUGGGUGGUGGAAGUGAGAUGCAAAAUAUCAGUUAGGACUCUGGGAUCAGCUGUGGCAGUGGAGAUUUCCAGGAGAUUGCAAUUGGCCAUUGACACCAAUUGCCAGGAAAGACUGCUCACUAAACUGAGGGAACCUGUAGGGCUUAGCUUCUCUGGUAGCUUCCUGAAUGGGCUGAGUGACGCGACCUGGAAAUGGAAGGAUGCUUUGUUCCCAUGCAGAAAACCCUGAGCAAUGGAAUUCUGAAGAUGGUUAUAUG